UACAUAGGGGGCAAGCGUUAUCCGGAAUUAUUGGGCGUAAAGGGUGCGUAGGUGAUUAUUUAAGUCUUUGGUGUAAGUGCAGUGCUUAACGCUGUGAUGCUAAAGAAACUGGGUAACUUGAGUGUGGUAGAGGCAAGUGGAAUUCCAUGUGUAGCGGUAAAAUGCGUAAAUAUAUGGAGGAACACCAGUGGCGAAGGCGGCUUGCUGGGCCACAACUGACACUGAGGCACGAAAGCGUGGGGAGCAAACAGGAUUAGAUACCCUGGUAGUCCACGCCGUAAACGAUGAGUACUAAGUGUAGGAGAAAUUCUGUGCUGUAGUUAACGCAAUAAGUACUCCGCCUGAGUAGUACGUGCGCAAGCAUGAAACUCAAAGGAAUUGACGGGACCCCGCACAAGCGGUGGAUCAUGUUGUUUAAUUCGAUGAUACGCGAAGAACCUUACCAGGUCUUGACAUCCCCUGCAAAGCUAUGGAGACAUAGUGGAGGUUAUCAGGGAGACAGGUGGUGCAUGGUUGUCGUCAGCUCGUGUCGUGAGAUGUUGGGUUAAGUCCCGCAACGAGCGCAACCCUUAUUGCUAGUUACCAUCAUUAAGUUGGGGACUCUAGCGAGACUGCCAGUGAUAAACUGGAGGAAGGUGGGGAUGACGUCAAAUCAUCAUGCCCCUUAUGACCUGGGCUACAAACGUGAUACAAUGGCUAAAACAAAGGGCAGCGAAGCAGUGAUGUGGAGCGAAACCCAAAAAAGCAGUCUCAGUUCGGAUUGAAGUCUGCAACUCGACUUCAUGAAGUCGGAAUCGCUAGUAAUCGCGGAUCAGAACGCCGCGGUGAAUACGUUCUCGGGGUU
rnacentral:rRNA from 1 species